rnacentral:rRNA from 1 species
UACAGAGGGUGCAAGCGUUGUUCGGAAUUACUGGGCGUAAAGCGCGCGCAGGCGGCUCUUCAAGUCAGGGGGUGAAAGCCCAGAGCUCAACUCUGGAACUGCCUUUGAGACUGAAGAGCUUGAGUACGGGAGAGGUGAGUGGAAUUCCCAGUGUAGAGGUGAAAUUCGUAGAUAUUGGGAAGAACACCAGUGGCGGAAGGCGGCUCACUGGCCCGAUACUGACGCUGAGGUGCGAAAGCGUGGGGAGCAAACAGG